GGCCCCUGGAGGGCUCUGGCCUCUGCUUGCCCCCUGCACAGGGUGGACAGAGGACUGAAAGGCUGUCCUGCCAACCUUACUAGAGCUGGAAAUAACUUUGUGUUGAUUUGCUUUAGACAAGUACACUGGGAAGACCUCAGGGAGCAGCUGCAGCCUGUGGAUGCUGAAUUCUCAGGCUCUGAGGCCACCCCAGCCUCUCCCUCCAAAAGCUCCCAGAAGCACUUUGGAAAUAAUAGUCUAAGGUCCCCAGGCUGGGAUCAAACCUGUGAUCCUCCUGCCUCAGCCUUCCAGAGCCGAAAGUACAGAAAAUUUCUCUCUGUGCCGAAGCUGGGGAGGCCAAGGUCAAGGUGCCCACGGACAGGCAGACCUGCUGAGGACCUGCUCACUAGAUGCAGCCACCUCUGCAAAAGCCCCACCUGUGACCACAAGAGGCUCUGAGGGGCCGUCCAGACCCAGCCCUGACAGGGAGUUUCCGCCCUUUGGUCAGAGGAAUGCCAGAUAAACAGCCUGUCAGUUAAGCUUAUCAACAUAGUUACAAUGUCACAGAAAAGAGAUGCCCGAUUCCCAGGCCAGUGGAGUUUCAUCUUAUUCUGAAUAAAGGCCAUAUUAUAUUUAAAAAAAAAAAAAAAGAGUAGGAAAUUUAUUGGGGAACAGGAAUGGGGA
ensembl:lncRNA